rnacentral:rRNA from 1 species
GGAAUUUUGGACAAUGGGCGCAAGCCUGAUCCAGCCAUUCCGCGUGAGUGAAGAAGGCCUUCGGGUUGUAAAGCUCUUUCGCAAGGGAAGAAACGUUACGAGCGAAUAACUCGUGAUAAUGACGGUACCUUGAUAAGAAGCACCGGCUAACUACGUGCCAGCAGCCGCGGUAAUACGUAGGGUGCGAGCGUUAAUCGGAAUUACUGGGCGUAAAGCGUGCGCAGGCUGUUUUGUAAGUCAGAUGUGAAAUCCCUGAGCUCAACUUAGGAACUGCGUUUGAAACUACAAGACUAGAAUAUGUCAGAGGGGGGUAGAAUUCCACGUGUAGCAGUGAAAUGCGUAGAGAUGUGGAGGAAUACCAAUGGCGAAGGCAGCCCCCUGGGAUAAUAUUGACGCUCAUGCACGAAAGCGUGGGGAGCAAACAGGAUUAGAUACCCGAG